UGAGGCGGGUGGUUCGGAAUUACUGGGCGUAAGAGCGCGUAGGCGGUUCGAUUAGUCGGAGGUGAAAUCCCUCGGCUCAACCGAGGAUCCGCGUCCGAUACUGUCGAACUUGAGUGCAGGAGAGGAGAGCGGAAUUCCCAGUGUAGCGGUGAAAUGCGUAGAUAUUGGGAGGAACACCGGUGGCGAAGGCGGCUCUCUGGACUGUUACUGACGCUGAGGCGCGAAAGCUAGGGGAGCAAACGGGAUUAGAUACCCCGGUAGUCCUAGCCGUAAACGAUGGGCACUAGGUGUGGGAGGUAUCGACCCCUUCCGUGCCGCAGCUAACGCAUUAAGUGCCCCGCCUGGGGAGUACGGCCGCAAGGUUGAAACUCAAAAGAAUUGACGGGGGCCCGCACAAGCGGUGGAGCAUGUGGUUUAAUUCGACGCAACGCGAAGAACCUUACCAGGACUUGACAUCCCGCGAACUCCUCCGAAAGGAGGGGGUGCCCGCAAGGGAGCGCGGAGACAGGUGGUGCAUGGCUGUCGUCAGCUCGUGUCGUGAGAUGUUGGGUUAAGUCCCGCAACGAGCGCAACCCUCACCCCUUGUUGCCAUCAGGUCAGGCUGGGCACUCUAGGGGAACUGCCCCGGUCAACGGGGAGGAAGGUGGGGAUGACGUCAAGUCAUCAUGCCCCUUACGUCCUGGGCUACACACGUGCUACAAUGGCCGGUACAAAGGGAUGCAAGACCGCGAGGUGGAGCUAAACCCAAAAAGCCGGUCUAAGUUCAGAUUGGAGUCUGCAACUCGACUCCAUGAAGGAGGAAUCGCUAGUAAUCGCGCAUCAGCACGGCGCGGUGAAUACGUUCCCGGGCCUUGUACACACCGCCCGUCACACCACGAAAGCCAGUUGUACUCGAAGUCGCCGAGCUAACCCGCAAGGGAGGCAGGCGCCGAAGGUAUGACUGGUGAUUGGGGUGAAGUCGUAACAAAGGUAACC
rnacentral:rRNA from 1 species